GCCGGGCGCGGUGGCGCGCGCCUGUAAUCCCAGCUCCCGGGAGGCUGAGGCCGGGGGAUCGCGGGUGCCCGGGGGUUCGGGGCCGCGGCGCCGCGGGGAGCGGGCGUCCGCACCGCGCGCGGCACCAACAUGGGGUUCCCGGGGGAGCCCGGGGGCACCAGGUUGCCUAAGGAGGGGGGGACCCGGCCCAGGCCGGACACGGAGCAGGUCAAACCCCCCGUGCUGGGCGGCGGGGGGACCGCGCCCGCGAACGGCGCCUGCGGCUCCGCCCGGACAGUCGGCGAGACGCGGCCUCUUUU
rnacentral:SRP_RNA from 1 species